rnacentral:rRNA from 1 species
GAUGAACGCUAGCUACAGGCUUAACACAUGCAAGUCGAGGGGCAGCAUGACGAUAGCUUGCUAUUGUUGAUGGCGACCGGCGCACGGGUGAGUAACGCGUAUCCAACCUGCCCUUGUCCAUCGGAUAACCCGUCGAAAGGCGGCCUAACACGAUAUGCAGUUCUCCGCAGGCAUCUAACGAGAUCGAAAUGGAAAGGAGAAGGAUGGGGAUGCGUCUGAUUAGCUUGUUGGCGGGGUAACGGCCCACCAAGGCGACGAUCAGUAGGGGUUCUGAGAGGAAGGUCCCCCACAUUGGAACUGAGACACGGUCCAAACUCCUACGGGAGGCAGCAGUGAGGAAUAUUGGUCAAUGGGCGAGAGCCUGAACCAGCCAAGUAGCGUGCAGGACGACGGCCCUAUGGGUUGUAAACUGCUUUUAUGCGGGGAUAAAGUGAGCCACGUGUGGCUUAUUGCAGGUACCGCAUGAAUAAGGACCGGCUAAUUCCGUGCCAGCCGCCGCGGUAA